UUGGAAUCUAACCUCUGCCACCUAGAGUAGUAUAGACCACUGGUGGUAAGAAUGACAACUAGCGUUGGCCUGCCCUGACCAAUGGAAACCCUGUUAAGAUCCUUAAACAUAUUUAAAGUUUUACAAACCUUUUUAACCUUUCAUUAUUAAAUUGGCUGCCAAUCAUAUAAGCCAUGAGUGAUUUAUAAUGCUUGUUUACUUCUGUGUCUUGCAGAACUAAGGUGCAUCAAGAACUUCUGGAGAGUUGAAAAUAUCCCAUUUCAACAUCUUUGCAUUAUGAAGGGCCAGCACCAAUCCCAUUCCUCUGUUUCAAGUGAAAUGUCAUCCAUCACAGUGGCUUAAUUUGGAGAAAAGAUUAAAGUACCACACUUUAAAAGCUUCCUGUGACAGCCUUGCAUAUUUUUUUAAAAAUUAAAA